rnacentral:rRNA from 1 species
GAUGAACGCUAGCGGCAGGCCUAACACAUGCAAGUCGAGGGGCAGCAUAAAACAAGCUUGCUUGUUUGGUGGCGACCGGCGCACGGGUGCGUAACGCGUAUGCAACCUACCCUGUACUGGGGGAUAGCCCGGAGAAAUUCGGAUUAAGACCCCAUGGUAUUAUCGUUUCGCAUGUUAUGAUAAUUAAAGGUUACGGUACAGGAUGGGCAUGCGUCCUAUUAGCUAGAUGGCGAGGUAACGGCUCACCAUGGCGACGAUAGGUAGGGGGCCUGAGAGGGUGGUCCCCCACACUGGUACUGAGACACGGACCAGACUCCUACGGGAGGCAGCAGUGAGGAAUAUUGGUUAAUGGGCGCAAGCCUGAACCAGCCAUGCCGCGUGCAGGAAGAAGGUCCUAUGGAUUGUAAACUGCUUUUAUUUGGGAAUAAACCUCUUUACGUGUAGAGAGCUGAAGGUACCAAAUGAAUAAGCACCGGCUAACUCCGUGCCAGCAGCCGCAGUAACAC